UUUGCCAUCUCUUCUUCCCUCCUCUCUCUCUCCCUCCCUCCAUCCCUCCCUUCUUUCACUUCAGAGCCCAGCAUGCUACCCUGUCCUCAGAGAAGGGGAGAUUCAGUCUGAGCUUCCUCUACCUAUCUGGCCAUCCCCAGGAGCAGCGAGCCUGCUGGGAGUAAGCAUGGCCCUGGGGUUCCCCACAGCUGGCUCUCUCCAGGCUGAACAACCAUCGCAUGUCUUCAUAGGUCAUGAACUUGGGGGCUUCACUGUUCAUCGGCAUCUUUCUCCAAACUGAACAUAGGUGUCUCCUCUUUUGAAUAAGGGAGUACCAAGUUAAUUAGCAUCUGUUCAGCGUCUGCAGUGGCUUCAUUGGAUGAGUAGAAAGUGCUUGGGGGAAAGGAGGUGCGGAAGGAGACACCUGUCAAAGAAGCCUCGGAAAGGGAAAGGCGUACAGUACUGGUAAAUGUAGGACAAAAUAGAGUCUGGUGUGUUUUCCCUAAAAUCUGCUUUCAACAAUUCUCCUUUUGGAUUUAAAACACAACAGCAACAAACGAGUCGCCGGGCAAUCUGAAGAUUCACAGUAUUGCCAGUCAGUUAUUUGUACAGACCGUAAGACAUUUAACAAGGAAUAAUAAAAAGCAAAAUAGCCUGAACAAAGCCUCUUAAUGAGAUGGGAGGAGCGCAGUAAUUCCCAGAACUCUAUACCCUCUGUAGCUUUUGGAGCCACUGAGUGUUCGGCAAAAUUAUCCACACUCGGAUACAGAAAACCCAGACCUCAAGAGCAGAACCUUAGUGAGACUUGGGGUGCUCCCAGUCACAGAUGCAGGAGGAGGAGGUGGACCUGAGUUCAAAUCCUGAUGUGAAUAAAUAGACUGUGUUGAUGGCGUUUGGAGAGCCCUCCACAGGCCUCGGUCACCUUCCUCUUUCUCUGAGUCAAGCCGUCUUUGUCCGACGUCCUGAGCUGGAGAUGCCGCUGGUGCUCCGGCAGACCACUCUGUCUCCAUCCGGGCUGGGAUUGGGUUUAGUCCUGGGCGCCAGGCUCCCUCUUCUCACACUUGUUAGCUCCACGAGCCCCAGUCCCUGCACAAGGAGGGAAGUACGAAAGGUGUCCCCUUUAUGGAGCAGGGAAUUUAUUCCUGUCCACAAAAGGAAAUGCUGAGUGCAGAGGCGCCCAUACGCUAGCGCGUCCUGGGUCAGACUGGACAGUCACAUGCCCCUCAGUGACAUCUUUUCAGCUCUGACCCCCAUGUGCUGCGGGACCUCUCGAUCUGAAGAGGUUGCCUCCAAGCCUGGACGUGUCCAUUUCAGAUCAAGAAAGAAUAAACCGAUGAGCAGCUUGCGUGCUUUAGCGACCACGCCGUUUGCCAGGAUCUGGGUGACAAGAACGCUCUCUCCUGGGUCUUCAGUGCUGUGCUUGCUGAGGAGAGUAACCCCUCGUCACUUUUCUUCCUGGUCUUUGAAGCUCCUCCAUGCUUGUGAAUGGAUCGCAACCUGCUCAUGUUGACUGGUGGCCACACAUCUUCAAGGGAAAAAAAUCAAGGCAUCAUCUUGAGGGCUUCCCAUGAGCAUUUGAUGCGUUCUUGUCACUGGGAGCUUGAAACCACAGAAUGUUAGAGCAGGAAGGAAGAGACCUGAAGGUUGCCCGGGUUCAACCCCAGAUUUUACUGAUGAAGAAACUGAGACUGCAAGAUGGCAGGAGAUGUCUCACCUGUGCUGGCUGAAAACUAUGAGUCUGUCCAUGGUAGAGUGGCAUAAACUCUACAUCCUUGGCAGCGAGUGACGAGGGCCUGAACCAAGGUGGUGGUUCUGUGAUUGGAAGGAGGUGGAGGGUUUGGCAAGCCUAGUCUACCCAGUCCUUUGCAGUAACAGCAGCCCAGAGCCCUGAUUCCACAGGAGCAUUGACCUUGGGAACAUCCCCUCUGGUGCAUCUCCUCACUUCUGGGUGAGAGAAGGACUUGGAGCUUUGGGAAAUCCUGAGUGUUUCUCUUGGGAAAGGCAGAGAAGCCCCUGCCUAGGCAUCAGCAGCCUCCUUUGGUGGGGUUCAGUCUGGCUGUCUUGGCUACUGAACAGCUCCUCCAGCCCAGGAGCCAAGCUCCUGAGUACCAAAUGUAGGUCCACGCCAUCUUGGAAUUGCCUUCAGAAUCCCAUCUUUUCUUUGGCUUCCUCUUCCAUGGGCUUCCAGUUCCCUCUAUUAGAGACCUUAUGUCCUGGCCAGUUUGCAUCCCAAAUUGAAUCUAAAACAUGCUAGGGUUUAGAGUUCCCACGUUUUCUCUCCUGCUGAGAGAGUACUGGGUGGAGUAAGCGAAGGGAGCUUUUGCCCCCUGGCCAGGAUCAGUUCUAACUCAUCCAUUUCUAACCUUCCUCACCAUAGCUUCCUCCGCCCUGCCCCCCCACUUGGUCCGGGCCCUCCGCGCUCCUCUGUAUCCAGCCCGGGCCUGGCUGGAUGGCCGACUGGUGGCUGGGGGGUUUUCACACCGAAGCUGGGGGUGGGGAGCUUCUGUCCUAUUCGAGGGGCUUCCAGGUCGGACUGGAGGCACGUAUCUAGGAGAGGAGGUAGUGAGCUCCCCGUCCGUAAGGGCGUUGGUAGAGAAGAAGCGACAUUGGGGUUGGUCUGGAGGAAUUUGGGGCGCUGCCCACAACAGCUGGCCGCCUGGUCUUUAGAAAGGACGUAGUGAACUCCGCAUCCCCGUGGGGGCUAAGGGAGAGAUGCUGGGGGUGGGGCACCCCGCUUAUAUCUCCCCCCAGGGGGCGGGGCCGGGGCAUACUCUCCGCCACUUCCCCCGCAGCUUCCCUUGGAGGGAUCUGCCCCGGAGGUGAGUGCUGGGGGAGGGUCCGAGAGCGCGCAUGCGCACUUCCGUCAGCCUACCCUCGCCCACGGGUUUGGGCGGUACUAAGCUCUGAGCUGCCACUUCCGCACUACGUUUCCCAGAACGCCUUGCGUGCUCAGGGCGUGGCCUCCUAGGAAUUUAUUUCCUGUUCAUUUCCGCCUGUCCUCUUCUGGGCUGUUUGGCCUCAUUCACUCCCCACCCGAACAAUCUGGGAGGAGGCUGCAGGUCAAAGGUCAGAGGUUGUGUGUGGAGGGUCUUGUCCCUGCUCCUGUGCCCAUGCUCCUGGACAGAGGGGAAAGCUGAAGCAACGCCACUGGCUAUGGCCGACAGGCAGGGAUCGGUGACCUUCAGGGAUGUGGCUGUGACCUUCAGCCAUGAGGAGUGGGGGCAUCUAGACCCCUCCCAGAAGGCUCUCUACUGUGAGGUGAUGCUGGAGAAUUACAGGAACAUGGUCUGCCUGGGACUUGCUGCUUCCCAGCCCAGUGUGAUGGACCAGUUGAAGCGAGGAGAAGCCCCUUGGACUCCCGAAGGAGAAGGUGCGUGGAGCAGCUCUGCAGAUUGGGAGACUAGACCAGAAGCCGAGGAGUCUCUCUGAAGUUGGGUGCUCUGAGGGAACAGUCGUCCCAAGGAAGACUCACAAGGACAGAUUCCUCUGUUCUCUGCUUGAGG